rnacentral:misc_RNA from 1 species
GAUGAAGAACGUAGCGAAAUGCGAUACUUGGUGUGAAUUGCAGAAUCCCGUGAACCAUCGAGUCUUUGAACGCAAGUUGCGCCCGAAGCCACUAGGCCGAGGGCACGCCUGCCUAGGCGUCACACGCCGUUGCCCCCCCAUCUACUCCUUCGGGAUUGCGGGGGGGCGGAUGAUGGCCUCCUGUGCGCCUAGCCGCGCGGUUGGCAUAAAUACCAAGUCCUCGGCGACGCACGCCACGACAAUCGGUGGUUGCGAAACCUCGGUUGCCCGUCGUGUGCGUUCGUCGCGCAUCGAGGGCUCGAAAAAAUGCUCGGCUCCGGCUGGGCUUUCAACGCGACCCCAGGUCAGGCGGGGUUACCCGCUGAAUUUAAGCAUAUCAAUAAGCGGAGGA